UACGUAGGGUCCGAGCGUUGUCCGGAAUUAUUGGGCGUAAAGAGCUCGUAGGCGGUGUGUCACGUCGGCCGUGAAAACCUGCAGCUUAACUGUGGGCGUGCGGUCGAUACGGGCAUCACUGGAGUUCGGCAGGGGAGACUGGAAUUCCUGGUGUAGCGGUGAAAUGCGCAGAUAUCAGGAGGAACACCGGUGGCGAAGGCGGUUCUCUGGGCAUUACCUGACGCUGAGGAGCGAAAGUGUGGGGAGCGAACAGG
rnacentral:rRNA from 1 species